GAUGAACGCUGGCGGCAUGCCUAAUACAUGCAAGUCGAACGAAGCACUUGUGCUUAGUGGCGAACGGGUGAGUAAUACGUAAGCAACCUGCCCUAAACACGGGGAUAACUACUGGAAACGGUAGCUAAUACCCGAUAGGUCAUAAAGUGGCAUCACUUAAUGAUUAAAGGUCCCUUCAAGGACCAGUUUGGGAUGGGCUUAUGGCGCAUUAGCUAGUUGGUGAGGUAACGGCUCACCAAGGCGAUGAUGCGUAGCCGACCUGAGAGGGUGAUCGGCCACAUUGGGACUGAGACACGGCCCAAACUCCUACGGGAGGCAGCAGUAGGGAAUAUUGGGCAAUGGGCGCAAGCCUGACCCAGCAACGCCGCGUGAAGGAAGAAGGCUUUCGGGUUGUAAACUUCUUUGACCAGGGAAGAAACAAAUGACGGUACCUGGAAAACAAGCCACGGCUAACUACGUGCCAGCCGCCGCCG
rnacentral:rRNA from 1 species